UAUUGGACAAUGGGCGAAAGCCUGAUCCAGCAAUGCCGCGUGUGUGAAGAAGGUCUUCGGAUUGUAAAGCACUUUUGGCAGGGACGAUGAUGACGGUACCUGCAGAAUAAGCCCCGGCUAACUUCGUGCCAGCAGCCGCGGUAAUACGAAGGGGGCUAGCGUUGCUCGGAAUGACUGGGCGUAAAGGGCGCGUAGGCGGCAUGUACAGUCAGAAGUGAAAUUCCUGGGCUCAACCUGGGGACUGCUUUUGAUACGUGCAGGCUAGAGUGAGGAAGAGGGUUGUGGAAUUUCCAGUGUAGAGGUGAAAUUCGUAGAUAUUGGAAAGAACACCGGUGGCGAAGGCGGCAACCUGGUCCUUUACUGACGCUGAGCGCGAA
rnacentral:rRNA from 1 species